rnacentral:rRNA from 1 species
UCAGAUUGAACGCUGGCGGCAUGCCUUACACAUGCAAGUCGAACGGCAGCACGGGGGCAACCCUGGUGGCGAGUGGCGAACGGGUGAGUAACAUAUCGGAACGUGCCCUGGAGUGGGGGAUAACUAGUCGAAAGAUUAGCUAAUACCGCAUACGAUCUACGGAUGAAAGUGGGGGAUCGCAAGACCUCAUGCUCGUGGAGCGGCCGAUAUCUGAUUAGCUAGUUGGUGGGGUAAAGGCCUACCAAGGCAUCGAUCAGUAGCUGGUCUGAGAGGACGACCAGCCACACUGGGACUGAGACACGGCCCAGACUCCUACGGGAGGCAGCAGUGGGGAAUUUUGGACAAUGGGCGCAAGCCUGAUCCAGCAAUGCCGCGUGAGUGAAGAAGGCCUUCGGGUUGUAAAGCUCUUUUGUCAGGGAAGAAACGGUGGAGGUUAAUANCUUCUGCUAAUGACGNUANCUGAAGAAUAAGCAUCGGCUAACUACGUGCCAGCAGCCGCGGUAAUACGUAGGGUGCAAGCGUUAAUCGGAAUUACUGGGCGUAAAGCGUGCGCAGGCGGUUGUGCAAGACAGAUGUGAAAUCCNCNGGGCUCAACCUGG